rnacentral:rRNA from 1 species
CAAUAGCGUAUAUUUAAGUUGUUGCAGUUAAAAAGCUCGUAGUUGGAUUUCGGUUAAGAGCGACCGGUCCGUCGUUUGGUGUGCACUGGUUGGUUUUAACUUCCUGUAGAGGACGUGCUCUGGGUUUAACGACCUGGACUCGGAGUCUACGUGGUUACUUUGAAAAAAUUAGAGUGUUCAAAGCGGGCUUACGCUUGAAUAUUUCAGCAUGGAAUAACACUAUAGGACUCCUGUCCUAUUUCGUUGGUCUCGGGACGGGAGUAAUGAUUAAGAGGAACAGUUGGGGGCAUUCGUAUUUCAUUGUCAGAGGUGAAAUUCUUGGAUUUAUGAAAGACGAACUUCUGCGAAAGCAUUUGCCAAGGAUGUUUUCAUUAA